rnacentral:rRNA from 1 species
GAGGAAGGCGGGGGGCGUGCUUAACACAUGCAAGUCGAACGGAAAGGCCCUGCUUUUGUGGGGUGCUCGAGUGGCGAACGGGUGAGUAACACGUGAGUAACCUGCCCUUGACUUUGGGAUAACUUCAGGAAACUGGGGCUAAUACCGGAUAGGAGCUCCUGCUGCAUGGUGGGGGUUGGAAAGUUUCGGCGGUUGGGGAUGGACUCGCGGCUUAUCAGCUUGUUGGUGGGGUAGUGGCUUACCAAGGCUUUGACGGGUAGCCGGCCUGAGAGGGUGACCGGCCACAUUGGGACUGAGAUACGGCCCAGACUCCUACGGGCGGCAGCAGUGGGGAAUAUUGCACAAUGGGCGGAAGCCUGAUGCAGCAACGCCGCGUGCGGGAUGACGGCCUUCGGGUUGUAAACCGCUUUCGCCUGUGACGAAGCGUGAGUGACGGUAAUGGGUAAAGAAGCACCGGCUAACUACGUG